GAAUCUACAGUGAAUUUGUUCGAGGGGGCUAAGUUAUUAAGUUGUGGCAGGAAAGCUUUUAGGUCUUCAUUACUUGGCCAGAGACAUAAUACUGUACAUCAUCUACAUAUUACCAGUAGAUAGUUAACAAUUUCUGGGGUUGGUGUAAAAUUUCCACAAAAGGGUCAAAAUCCGAUCGGUUUAUCCGCUCACUGGAUCUCAGCCAAUCAGAGACCUCAAAACAAACUCAAGUGUGACGUCGUAGGUUUAUCCAAUCACAGACGCCCGCACAAGGGCUUUCGUGCUGCCACGCUGUUUUAUGUGUGUGGAAGCCACCAGCCACCAGUCUGGAUUUUAUUUGGGAAAAACUUCAUAUAUUUAGAGCCCAAAAUAUGCCUCGUUCACGGCGUCAUCGUUCAAGUACUGAACGCAGUCGCAGCCGCACCAGGGAUCGGGAUCGAGACAGAAGACGAAGGCGACUUGAGGACUCUCAGAGUUAUUCUUCCAGGCACCGGAGUAGAUCUUCACGUACUAGAGGAGUUCUCCUGCACGACACCCGUCUACCGUGACCGUGAUCGACA